UACGGAGGGUGCGAGCGUUGUUCGGAAUCACUGGGCGUAAAGCGCGCGUAGGCGGUCUGCUAAGUCUGAUGUGAAAGCCCGGGGCUCACCCCCGGAAGUGCAUUGGAAACUGACAGACUGGAGUCCCGGAGAGGAGGGUGGAAUUUACGGUGUAGCAGUGAAAUGCGUAGAUAUCGUAAGGAAGACCAGUGGCGAAGGCGAGUCUCUGGACAGUUACUGACGCUGAGGCACGAAGGCCAGGGGAGCAAACGGG
rnacentral:rRNA from 1 species